rnacentral:lncRNA from 1 species
GAUCAUUGUAACUUCCAUCAGCUGUUCUGUACGGAUAAUCUCCUGGGCUAAACCGAACACCGGAUGGAGUUUCCCCGACAUUGAUGAGAUUGUAUUGCUGGUGAAGAUGGCGACGUACAGCCAGAUAUAUUAAACCUAAGACAACAGGUAACCGGUGCCAUAUCCCCAAUCUAUCCACCGAAUGAACCAUCUGAUUAACCAAAAAUAAUUGUUAAGCUUAAUAGCAGCCGGAAACAUGAUGUUAUGACUUAAAAAAGGUUCAUAGGAGAAAAAUGAGUUAUCUUACGAGGAAGAGAAAAGCAUCAAUUAUGGUCAUGGAAGAAACAGCUUCAUGGAAAUCUUGAUGGAUGAAACGACGUAGUAUGUUGUUGAAAAGAGCCUUCGUAAUAAAUGCCAUUGUUUUUCGAGAGAACCUGGGUUUUCUUUUCUUUUUUUUUGGGUGGGGUGGGGGGUGGUAAAGAUAUUCUUUGUAAUAACCAUGGUCAUGCAUAUGUCUGUAUUUAUAGAAGAAAUUAUGAGAAAAGUAGCGCCGGCAAUGACGUGAAAACCAUUGGAUAAUUGCGUGAGCAAAAUGCCUUUCUCCCCUCAACUCAUAGCUUACUGUUCUACAUAUGAGAAUGAGGUUGAAUAGUAUUGCUUAUUAAUUCCAAACUUGGAUAGAAUAUGAUAAUAUUGGAGUAAAAGGUACAUUUAUGGACGAAAGUCGAAAAGAGACAUCCAUAUGUGGCCACAUUUAUUGUGGUUUAGACUUUGUCCGAGGCCAAUAACUUGUGAUGAAAUAAUACCUCGUAUCUCCUUUUAUUAUUAAAUAGAUUAAUUUAAUUUUUGAAUGAGUUCAAAUUUUAAGGGUUAAUUUUACUAAUACUUGAUUGAUAUUAUUUAAUUAUUUAAUAAUAUAUAAAUUUUAUUAAUUUAUUGUGGUUUAGGGUACCUCGAGUAUAGAAAAAGAACACUGUUAUUAUUAUUAUUAUCCAUUUUGUACGGAAUUAAGGAGACAACGAAAAAACAUACUUUGCUUUUGAUGUCGCCCACAUGUUUUUUCCUUUAGAAAAUAAAUUAUUUUAUGCAUGAGACAAUCAACUACGAAGUGAUUUCUACGUGCGUGUGGUAAGGCGGCCGUCCACACAUUUGAAGGAGAUUUAAACAAAUCUAUUUAUCUUCUUAUUGUUUUUUUUUUCUUAAUAUAAAUUUGAGAUUAGAGUUUAAUCUGAAAUUUAAACGAAUUUAGACAAAAAUAUUAUGCUCGAAAAAUGAGUUUGAGAAAAAAUUUAGAUUCGUUUAAAUUAUGGGUUGAGCUUAGAUUUGAACAUUUAAGGCCUAUAUCUGACCUAUUUUUAAGUUUAUAAUAUUUUAUAUUAUGUUAUUUUUAUAUAUAAUGUAAUUUAUAACACAUUAAAAAAAUAAAACUUAUAUACAGAAUAUGUAAUACUAGUCUAAUAUAAAUAUUAAAAUAAUGUUAGGAUGGCUAUAUAAAAAAUUUAAUAAAUAGAAAAAUAUAAAAAAUUAUUAAAUAUUAAAUUAAAAUAAUAUAAAUAUUUUUAAAAAAGUAAUAUGGACAUGUUUAAAAUGAGAUUAGGUUAAUCUGUUGCAAAUAUGAGUAAAUUUAAAGAAAAAUUUAUGCUCAUAUUUUAGACUGAACUGAAUUUUACCAAACAUAAAAUGUUAAUAUCAUAUUUAAGCAUCUCUAGAUUUGAGUAAUACCUAUUUAAAUAUAUAGUCGACCAUCAAUUCUAAUUAUAUAUUCUUACCACCAAGGUGUACGGAUGUUGUUUGUGCCAGUUUUGACGUCACAGAAACCAGUUGGAAAUUCCUUUGUUGGAUGAAACUUGAAAGAAGUGAGAAGACAUUUGUUUGCAACUUCUUUAGGUGCAAUCAGUUCAACCUGCAAUUUUUGUUCAACCACCAAUGAUAACUAUAUCUCCAUUAACAUUGGCUUCAACAUUGUUCUUGUAUCGGAUAUUUAUGUUGUAUGCAUAUAUAUAUAAAUACAUAAAUAAAUAUAUAAUUAAGGUUUAACCUGUUGGUUGGUGGUCUCCAUGUGAUCGAUCCAAUCGUGGAUCAAACUGGACCCAUGAAGCUGCAAUAAUGUUGAAUUGCUUGCCAACAGUUUCGUAGCCACAAACAUUGGAUCUGGCUUCAUUAACUGCAAUAAAAUAUAUACCUAUAUUUAAAAACAAUCCCUAAUGGGUUAUCUAUCACUCAACUCUCCUAUGCAACGCGAAGUCAUAAAAUAUUUUAGGGGCUGAACUUAAAUUGUAAAUUCUAAGAUAGUAAAAAUAUAAUUUUUAAAAGAUUAAAUUAAAAUUUUAUUAUAUUUAAGGGGUUAAAGUGUAAUUUUACCUUUAUUAAUUUAAAAUUUUAAAAAUUAAAAUAAAAUGAAAGUUUCAUUUUAAAAAAGUCAACCCCUAAAUUCGCGCGUGCUAGAGAUAUAUUGCACGUUUUACUUGAACACCCUACAACCUCAUAAUAAAUUUCCACCCGAUCUGGUAUUAGCCCAUGUGCCAUUGAAUUCAUGUUUGACUUGGGGUUUGGGAAAGAAGUUGUAUGUGAAAUUGACAAUAUCUCCCUAAUUCUAAACUUUGGAGAGGGAAGAAAGAUUUCUCGGAAUUAGUAACCUUCAUUCACCGCUCUCAAACAUUGGAUAGAUGCUUUAGCUUUGUUCUUCUAGCUAUGUGCAGCACUUCAGUUAGUUAAUGUAGGUGUUCGUAAAAAUUAAGUAUUCGAUUUAAGUUUUAAAAUAUAUUUGAUAGUUUAUUUAAAAUUAAAAUUUUAAUAUAAUUAGUAGGGACGUCAGUGAGACAGAUUUUGUAGGAUCCCACCCCAUUUUGCACCUAAUUGGGUGGAAAUGGGUACAGGCUUCACGAGUGAUGGGACAAAGAUAGGGAAAAAAAUUAGAUCAACCGUGGGUGAUGGGACAGACAUGGGUAUAACCUUGUACUCACCUCAUCCCCACUCGCCCCGCCCCAUAUAAUAUAAUAACCAUAUUUAAAAAUUUAAUUUUGAUAACAGUAGUUAACUCAUAUUCACUACUCUUUUUUUUUUUUUUUAAAAGAAGAGCAUUUCACAUUUUCUCACCAAUUUUUUUUUAAAGAAAGGAGAGUACUCAACACAGUUUCUCAUAUGCAGGUUUAGGUAAAAUUAAAGAGAUAUAAUGCUCACAAUUGAUAGAAGAAUUAGAAGAUGAAUGUGAUACAGAAGCAACGGGAGUGACAUGUAUUGAUUCAUUUUUGGAAUUUUUACACUUGUGUUGCAUUUGAAGACAUUUAUGAUGUAUUUAAGACAUUGUUUGUAUUUGGAUAUUAUGUAAAGACUUUAUUUUCUGAAUUUUUUAAACUCGUGUUGAAGUUAUAUUUUAUUUACUAAUUAAAGGGUCGCGACGACUUAUUUUUUUUAAAUGGUGACAGUUGGAAUAAUGUCACACAUGUGAUAGGAGUCCGGAGGACAGAUAUUUCAUACUUUUUUCAUAAAAAAAUUAAUUUAUAUUUAUUUCACUAAUACUUAUAAAUAUAUUAUAUGAAGUGGGUUGCAAGACGGGGUAUAACGAGGAUUAGGUGGGUCUAGGGACCCACAUGGGUGAUGGGGCAGGGAUGGUUUUAGUCUCGUGGGUCAUGGGGCGGGGAUGGUUUUGGGUUUUGUAUCCGUAGCGGGGUGCGGAUGGGGAUGAAAGGCCCAAUUGACAUCCUUAAUAAUUAGAUUGUUUGAUAACGAGUAAUAUAAUCUUAAAUGAAAUAGAAUAAAAUAAAAUAAAAAUCAUUGAAUUAUUCUCUAUUAAGCUACCUACUUAUCAUUUUCUACACUUUUUUGUAGAAAAAGAUCUAUCUAGUAGUUUUCAUUGUGAUUUAUCAAACAUAUGUUUAAAAAAUUAAGUUAUUGAAAAUAUUAAUUUUUAGUUGAUUGAAUUUUCUCUAACACUUUAUCAAAUAAACCCUUAGUUUUUCCAAUUGCACAAGUUGAUUGUUCAUCCCUGUCAUCGAAACUAGUAAUUUGGUUAUUUGUUAGUGCAAAAUUAUGGUAUACAAAUUUGAAAGUUAAAAUAUAUUUUAAUCCUACUUUUAUUUUCAAAAAUUUAGACCCUUCACUUUUUGGAUUUAAACAUUUAGGCCCAGUUGUUGCAACUAUUAAAAUUCAUCUGUUAAAUUUAUCGAUGUGGCUUUUUGAAAUUUUUUAAAAAAUUAUUUGGUAGUCAGGUAAUGAUAAAAAUAGCAUUAAUUGAAAAUAUUUAUAUAGAUUUUUUCUUAAAAACAUUCAUUCGAACUCGUUAUGAUAAAAUAAUUUUUUUGUUGGAAUAGUGUUCCUAAAAAAAAUUCACAUCAACAUUUUGAUUGAAAUAGUUAACAGUACUAAAUAUUUAGACUAACUAAAAACAUUGUAAAAGUAGAAUAAUCAAAUUAUGUAAAAGAUAAGCCACAUAGAUUAAAUCCCAAGUUUCAGCAUAAUAUAAAGGGCUAAAAUUGAAGUUUAGUCACUCCCUUAUAAAAUCAAAAAAUAAAAAGCAAGGCAAACCUAAAAGUAAUAAAAAGUUAUAUAUUCAUCUCUAAGACUCUUAGGGCAUCAAAUUAUAGAUAACCACAUGAUGUUUUAAUUGAAAAAUGAAUGAUAUUAACUUUUUAGAUUGAUUAAUAACAUUAUAAAACUAUAGGGACCAAAUUGCAUUAGAAAUUAAGAUGUGACAUUUAAAUUUCAAAUUUAGGUAUAAUAGAGGAAUCAUAACUGAAAUUUAAUCAUUUUUAAAACUGCAAAAAAAGGUUAAACACUUACGUAAACCUAAAAAAAAAUGGGAAGUCACGUAUCAGUCUCUAAGAUUAUUACGGUAUUCAAAUUAUGCAUAACAACAUAAUGUUUUAACCGAAUUAUUUGGAUUAGUUAAGAAUAUUAUAAGAAUAUAGGGACCAAAUGUGUUAAAAAUUAAAGUAUAUAGAUUAAAUCUCAAAUUUAAGCAUAUUAGAGGGAGCAGAGGUGAAAUUUAACCAUUUUCUAAAAUGAAAAAAAGUAAGCAUGUUGAGAGAGACGCGUGUCAGCAUAUCCUUUUAUAUAUAGUCAUGUAGAUAAGAAAUGACGUAUUUUAUUUAAAAAAUAAAAUUUUUAUUAAAUUAAAUUAAAUUAUUCUUAUUCUAUUUUCGUAUUUAUUCAUAUAUACAUAUAAAUCAAAGUUUUAAUAUUUACCAAUAUUUAUUGUUACAUAUGUUUUAUUCUGUUAUUAAUAUUUAAUAUUUAAUAUUUUUAUUAAAAUUAUUAUGAUUUAAGAAGUAUUUAAAAAACAUAUUCCCAUCUGAAGCUGAAGUUGUUUUAAUUUUCGGUCUAUCAGAUAAUAGUUUAUAAUUAACCAGGCCCUCUUCUUUAAUGAAGUUAAAUUCCCCCACUGCUUAGUUAACAAACGGUUCAAUUAAUUGAAUAUCUAAUUCAAUUGAGGAUGUUUAUAUAUGUGUAUAUAUAUAUAUUAAAUGAGUACCAAAUAUAAUAAAUAUUUUAGAGGUGAGCGUUCGGUUGGAUUGAGUCGAAUUGAGUGAAAAAUUUCGAGUUAAUUAAAUUGAUGUGUCUUAUUUUAUUAUCCAAACUCGAUUUAAAAUUUUUUCGAACCGAAUCGAGUAAAAUAAAAUUCGACCCAAUUGGAGUCAAAUAAAUUUGCUCGAGUUAAAUUAAAAAAAUAAAUUGGCCAUGUUGAAAUAUUAUUAAUAGUAUAAAUUAAUUCUGAGUUAAAGAACAUAGAUACCACAUAUAUUUGAAAAUUUCUUUUAAAACAAAAUAAGAGGAGGAAAUAAACAAGAUAACUGAUAUGAGAAACUUGAAUUGAUAAUUUACUUAUUUAAUGUCUCAAAUUUUCAUCUUGGAUUUUUUAGAAAAUAUAAAUUAACAUUUUUAAUAAUUUUUAAUUUUUUGAAUUUAUGUAUAUUUAUAAAUUUUGAAAAAAAAUAUUUUAUAAAUAUUUUAAAAUUUGUAAAAUUAUUAUGAUUCUUUAAUUUCUUUUAAAAGUGAUCAAUUUGUAAUAACACGACAGGUAUUUACAUGACUGUGUUAGUUAAAAUCAAGUAUUUGUUAAAAUAAGUGCUUCUCCCAUAAUAAAUGGCUAAUUGAGCUAAUCCGAUGGAAGCAGUCUGAUUUUUGUUCAUUUGUCAGCUUAAAAGUAAUAUUGUAUACCUUCUCUGUUUGAUGAACAGGCAUAGUGUUCCUGCCAAAGAAAGAUCCUUGGCUGCCAGCUCCAUCAUUGAAAGGAUCAUUGUAACUUCCAUCACCUGUUCUGUACGGAUAAUCCCCUGGACUAAACCGAACACCGGAUGGAGUUUUUCCUACAUUGCUGGUGAAGAUGCCAAUGUACAACCAGAUAUAUUAAACCUAAGAUAACAGGUAACCGGUGCCAUAUCCCCUAUUUAUCCACCAAAAGAACCAUCUGAUUAACCAAAAAUAAUUUUUAAGCUUAA